UACGGGAGGCAGUAGUGGGGAAUAUUGCACAAUGGGCGCAAGCCUGAUGCAGCCAUGCCGCGUGUAUGAAAAAGGCCUUCGGGUUGUAAAGUACUUUCAGUCGUGAGGAAGGUGUUAAGGUUAAUAACCUUAGCAAUUGACGUUAGCGACAGAAGAAGCACCGGCUAACUCCGUGCCAGCAGCCGCGGUAAUACGGAGGGUGCGAGCGUUAAAUCGGAAUUACUGGGCGUAAAGGGCACGCAGGCGGUUAAUUAAGUUGGAUGUGAAAUCCCCGGGCUUAACCUGGGAAUGGCAUUCAAGACUGGUUAGCUAGAGUCUUGUAGAGGGGGUAGAAUUCCAUGUGUAGCGGUGAAAUGCGUAGAGAUGUGGAGGAAUACCGGUGGCGAAGGCGGGCCCCUGGGACAAAGGCUGACGCUCAUGUGCGAAAGCGUGGGGAGCAAACAGGGAUUAGAUACCCGU
rnacentral:rRNA from 1 species